rnacentral:piRNA from 1 species
UAAAGACCUGAUAGCAGAAUAAAUUGGUGUU